GAGCGUGGCAUUACCAACCCGGUUUUAUUUAUGAACGACGGCCGUAGCGUUCUCUUUUAGACAUAAAUCCUUCGAGUAGUCCACCACGAGGAGGUCAACAUGCAGAUAUUUGUUAAAACCUUAACAGGGAAGACUAUUACCCUUGAGGUAGAGGCUGCUGAUACUAUAGAAAAUGUAAAAGCUAAAAUUCAAGAUAAAGAAGGAAUUCCUCCAGAUCAACAGCGAUUAAUUUUUGCUG
rnacentral:lncRNA from 1 species